rnacentral:lncRNA from 1 species
CACACGCAGAAGGAAUAUUAGGUCACACCGUGACGUUGAUCACAUCCCGGCUUCAUUAAAUGUGACAUUUACUGAGAAAAUCACUGUUACCUCAGGGGAGCCAUUAGAUGGCAGAAGCGACAAGACUGGCAGCAAGAGAAGAAGGUUAGAGGCACAUUUGGAAGUAAGGAAACGGAAUUUCUUUGCAAAUGACUUUCACAGCAUAUUCUCCCUUAAGUCAAACCGUAUGCAUCAGUUGGGAACAUUCACCAUGGACUAUCUAUAACAAAAUCUGAGAUGAAGUUUCCAUCUGUGCACUUGGUGGAACCAAAUGGGAAGGUCUUGCUGGGCCCAGAGGGAAAAUGCUAGCUUAUCGGUGUCCGUGGGACGGCCAGUGGUUGAGAGCUGCUUCUGGGCUGGGAACUCCGCAUUACCUUGCAAUUAGUGACCAACCAGGCCAACACCACAGUGUUUUAAUUUAGACAACAAUUAAUUGAAGGCAAAAUCUGAAGAAAGAAAAUCCAAAUUGGUGAGAGGUGGAACUAUUUUCAGAUUAUGAUAUGCUCACCUCCAAAGAGAGAAAACAGAAUUCCUGUUGAGUGUUAGAGUUUCUGAGUUAGUGCUUCCUCUUGCCAAUGAUUAUUUUCAGAGGACUGUUCAACCAAAUGUCUUUGAUGAUUCAACAGCAGACUGUGAGCCACUUAACACAAAGAUUCUGUGUUGCUUAAAUGAGAUUGACACAGAGGAGGGCCUUAGGCUUUUAAUAAGGAGAAGAAUUGCAGGAAGGCCAUGACUUAUUAAAAAUGCGUUCAAGACAACACUCCACCUUGUGUUCACCUGAGCUCGCUGCCUCAGCUUUAUUGUGCUGGAGAAUGAUCUCCUGAAAGGAAGUGGUGAUGCGCGGUCUGCGCCAGUGCGUCCCUCGAAAGACAGGCCGGAAGAGCUCCUCAGCUAGAACAAUAAAAACAUGAUCCGCGAGUAUUUGGUGUGUUGC